UACGGAGGGUGCAAGCGUUGCUCGGAAUUAUUGGGCGUAAAGGGUAGGUAGGUGGUCUCAUUUGUCUGGGGUGAAAGCCUUGAGCUUAACUCAAGAAGUGCCCCAGAAACGGUGAGACUAGAGUCUUGGAGAGGGUCGUGGAAUUCCCGGUGUAGCGGUGAAAUGCGUAGAGAUCCGGCGGAACACCGGUGGUGAAGACGGUCUCCUGGGCCGAGGGCCGACGCUGAUGCGCGAGAGCGUGGGGAGCGAACCGG
rnacentral:rRNA from 1 species